AACAUUAGAGACUGGGUCAUCAAUUUGAGUGAGUCUGUGGAGGAUGGUCCAAAAAGUUCACAAGGCAAUUUCAGCCAAGGUGCUGGCGCACCUCUUCUGCCAUCAAAACAGUUGUCCCUUGUAGUGGACCCUGAAGACUGUUCGUUCGCUUUGCAAAGUGGAAGUCGGAAUUCAGAUGUGCAGAUGUUGGAUGUUUACAGUCUAAUUCCUUUUGACAAUCCAGAUGGUGGAGUUUGGAAACAAGGAUUUGACAUUAGCUAUUUAUUUAAUGAAUGGGACUCUAAGCCCCUUCAAGUCUUUGUGGUGCCUCAUUCCCAUAAUGACCCAGGUUGGUUGAAGACUUUUGAUGACUACUUUAGAGAGAUGACUCAGUAUAUUUUUAAUAACAUGGUCAUCAAGCUGAAAGAAGACUCACGGAGAAAAUUUAUGUGGUCUGAGAUUUCUUACCUUUCAAAGUGGUGGGAUACUAUAGAUAAGCUGAAGAAGGAUGCUGUUAAAAGUUUGCUACAGAAUGGUCAGUUUGAAAUUGUGACAGGUGGCUGGGUUAUGCCUGAUGAAGCUGCUCCACAUUAUUUUGCCUUAAUUGACCAACUAAUUGAAGGACAUCAGU